rnacentral:rRNA from 1 species
CCAAGGAGUUUAUCGUGUGCGCAAGUCAUUGGGUGUUCAAAACCCAAAGGCGCAAUGAAAGUAAAUGCAUCCGCAAGGAGCUGACGUGCGAUCCUGGGCAUCGCGGUGCCCGGGCGCAGCAUGGCCCCAUCCCGACUGCAUGCAGUGGGGUGGCGGUAGAGCGUACGCGAUGAGACCCGAAAGAUGGUGAACUAUUCCUGAGCAGGAUGAAGCCAGAGGAAACUCUGGUGGAAGUCCGAAGCGAUUCUGACGUGCAAAUCGAUCGUCUGACUUGGGUAUAGGGGCGAAAGACUAAUCGAAC